AACGAACGCUGGCGGCAGGCUUAACACAUGCAAGUCGAACGGGUGUAGCAAUACAUCAGUGGCAGACGGGUGAGUAACACGUGGGAACCUUCCUAGGGGUACGGAACAACUCAGGGAAACUUGAGCUAAUACCGUAUACGUCCGUGAGGAGAAAGAUUUAUCGCCCUUAGACGGGCCCGCGUCGGAUUAGGUAGUUGGUGGGGUAACGGCCUACCAAGCCGACGAUCCGUAGCUGAUCUUAGAGGAUGAUCAGCCACACUGGGACUGAGACACGGCCCAGACUCCUACGGGAGGCAGAAGUGGGGAAUCUUGGACAAUGGGCGCAAGCCUGAUCCAGCCAUGCCGCGUGAGUAAAGAAGGCCUUAGGGUUGUAAAGCUCUUUUGGCAGGGACGAUAAUGACGGUACCUGCAGAAUAAGCCCCGGCAAACUUCGUGCCAGCCGCCGCCGUAACAC
rnacentral:rRNA from 1 species